ACAGUACAAUUAAAUUCGAUGCGCACCGAAACGAAACAGAAUCGGAUUGAAGACUUCGGUGGAAACUAGACCACUGUCUGUGGACAUGGAUGGUAGUACUUGCAGUACGGAUGUAACUACGAAAAUACAGAUUACAGUGUUAUUUUUUGCAAAAGCACGUGAACUAACUGGAAAUAAGGAAUGUCAAAUUUAUAUACCGAGAAAAUUAUCUUCUGCUGAUCUACUUAACAAAAUUAUCUGUACUUUUCAAUUGGAAGCUAUACGUAACCAAUUAAUAUUAGCUGUGAACGAGGAAUUUGUUGUUCCAAAUAGCAUCCUUGUGCUAUCAGAGAAAGACGAAAUUGCAGUUAUUCCACCACUUAGUGGAGGAUAACAUGGAAACGUCAAAAAAUUUUGUCAAGUUACAGCAGGAAGAAUUAAAUAUUGCAGAAAUCAUAGAUUUAGUAACAUUUUCUAACUGUGGAGCAAUAUCUAAUUUUAUUGGGAUCACUCGAGAUAAUUUUGAAAAUAGAAAGGUAGUUAAGCUGGAAUAUGAAGCUUAUGAAUCAAUGGCUUUAAAGGAGAUGAUCAAUAUUUGUACCAAAAUUCGUGCACAAUGGAAUAUAGAAGGCAUCGCUAUAUAUCAUCGUAUUGGAGAAGUACCGAUAUCUAAAGCAAGCAUUGUAAUAGCGGUUUCCUCUCCUCAUAGAGAGGAAUCAUUGAAAGCAGUAGAAUAUGCUAUUAAUGCAUUAAAAGCAUCAGUGCCUAUUUGGAAAAAAGAAGUAUAUGAAAUAGGAGAAACACAAUGGAAAGAAAACAAAGAGUGUACAUGGAUAAAUACUUUGAAGAGUGAAGAUGUUAAGACAGUUCGAAAUAUAAAUGAAGAAGUAUCAGAUAAAAUUGUUAUUGAUCCAAAUUUCGUACAAAUUCGAGCAGACUCAGAGGAAUUGAAUCGUAGAAUAAAAUCAUUUAUUGAACGAAAACGUCAGCAAGUAAAUACUGUGAAUGUGCAAGAAUUUUGUUGCCACAGUGAAAGAAAUGAUAAUGAAAAUUCUUGUGCAAGAGUAGAUGCCAUUCUUAUUCGACGCAAAGAUUCCAAAAGUCAUGUGAGAGUUCACAGAGUAUUAAACACAUGGGGACCCCAAACAAUUGAUCAAUCAAUUUUACACAAAGCAGUUAUGAAUAAUACAAGUUAUAAUAAUACUAAUGGCUUUCCUGUAUUGGAUGAUAGAAUUUCUACAGUAGAAUGUAUAAUAGGAAUUAAUAAACCUGUGCCCAAAGAUAUUUACGAAAGAUUGAAAAAUAUUGAAGAUAGAAUAUUAUAUUUAGAAAGCAUAUCACCAGAAUACAAGAAAUUUUGGGUAAGAGAAAAUAUCACUAACUUAAAAAAUAUUUCAACAUGUAUCCAGAAAAGAGUAAGUGUUGUUAAAUAUUUUGUAUAUAUGUAUAUUAUAUUUAAAUUAUAUAAUUAUGUGUGCGUCAAGUUAUUCUCAUCAUUUUUACUUUAAAUCUUUAAUUGUAUAUAUACAUUAUAUGGUUUCAUAUAUAAUGACAUUGACAAAUUAUAUUUCAGACAUAUUCCAUGGCAGAACUUGAUUUUAAAUUAUAUGAAGUAAAAAAUAAAUAUGCUAAGAUAAAAUAAAAAUUAUUAUAGUUAUAUAAAUACAUAAUUUUAUUUAUAUGAGAAAAUAUAUAGUUUACUUUUCUAUAUAAUACUUUUUUUCCCGUAUUUCAAUACAAUGUUUCUAGUGCUUGAUAGAACAAUUUUAAUUUUCCACAUAGUCAUUAGUUCGCGCUGAUAUAAAUUUUUUUCUUGCUCUUAAAUAACCUUAAAUAAACAUCUUUAAUUUUUAAAGCAACUAUGAAUAUAUUAAGACUCGACAGAAAUGACGGGCAAACUUGGAAUUGAUAUUGGAGACAUCGUGCGGUGACAGAUGUAUAUGUGUGUCAGAUAAGGACGCAAAAAUAUUUAUGUGUACAUACACACACGUAUAGAGAAAACUAAAAAUAAACCGCACUAGAAUGUGUCAGAGAUUUUUAUUAUAUGAAGUCCAGCAAGAAGUCUAUCUUGAAUUAUAGACAAUAUUCCUAUAUUCACACUGUAAUAUAUUAUUACGUUGGUACACAAAAUUGAGUCAUCUAGGGAUAGUCAUUGUGAUUAAGAAAUAAUUUCAUUAUAUCAGUGUACAGUUCUAUAUGUAUGGAAAAAUAUCAGUAGAACCCAAAUGCUCGGCUCUAGUAAAUCUCUCCAAACAAUCUAGCAGGGAAGUAGGAAGCCCAGAUGUAUCGGAACCAGAGCUAUCAGCAGCCGGACCUAGAUCCAAAGAUAUAUCCCAAAAUGGAUCUAUUGUGGUAGACACUCCACUAAAACAAAAAAUUGAUAUGUUUUAGAACAAAUUUAUAGGCCUCCAGUAAAUAUCUGAUCAAUGAUGCAAUUACAAUGAUGAGGGUUGUCCUUGACUAAUAUUGGAGCAGCUUCGCAAUGCCUAUGAAGAACGUCCAGUGUGGCAAUAAAGAAUUCAUGGGCAUCUUGCUGCUCAUAACCCGCCAGAUGUUUGACAUGUGUCCAAAUCAGAUGAAGAAGUUUGUGAAGCGUCAGCGGAGCCUUGUUGCCUGAAUAAAAUUCCUGGAAUAAAUGGGAUACCUCGCAGACCAGACAGCGACUUGGUUGUGGGCAGUGAUGACGGUCAGCAAGAAAGUAAUCUCGUAACAAGGGAGUAUGAAUCAGCACUUGUACAAUACAGUUCAUAAAACAGGUUUGUCCGAGAUUGAUCAAUCCUCUUAAACCUAUAGCCAAAAUAAAAUGGGUUUUUAUACUACUAUAUAUAAAGAGUGAUAAAUGGAUCAUUUCAAAUUAUGUUACUCAUCUCUGAACACAAUAUUGUAUGCGACUGAAUAAAACUUAGAAUCGUACAG